GCGCCCUUAGCUCAGUUGGUAGAGCACGACCUUGCCAAGGUCGGGGUCGCGAGUUCGAGUCUCGUUUCCCGCUCCA
rnacentral:tRNA from 1 species